rnacentral:rRNA from 1 species
GCGGUCAGAGAUGGGUGUGCGUCUGAUUAGCUAGUUGGUAGGGUAACGGCCUACCAAGGCGAUGAUCAGUAGGGGGCGUGAGAGCGUGAUCCCCCACACGGGUACUGAGACACGGACCCG